rnacentral:sRNA from 1 species
GUUCAGGUUCAUACCUCUUCUUCUCUGAUCUCUUCCUUGACAA